AUACGGAGGUUGCAAGCGUUAUUCGGAAUCACUGGGCGUAAAGGACGCGUAGGCGGUCUAUUAAGUCAGAUGUGAAAUCCCAGGGCUCAACCUUGGAACUGCAUCUGAUACUGAUAGACUAGAGUUUUGGAGAGGGAAGUAGAAUUUCAGGUGUAGCGGUGAAAUGCGUAGAGAUCUGGAGGAAUACCGAUGGCGAAGGCAGCCAUCUGGCCUAACACUGACGCUGAGGCGCGAAAGCAUGGGGAGCAAACAUGAUUAGAUACCCGAGUAGUCC
rnacentral:rRNA from 1 species